rnacentral:rRNA from 1 species
GAUGAACGCUGGCGGCGUGCCUAAUACAUGCAAGUCGAGCGAACAGAUCAGGAGCUUUCUCUUCACACAUUAGCGGCGGGCGGGUGAGUAACACGUGGAUAACCUACCUUUAAGUCUGGGAUAACUGCGGGAAACCGGAGCUAAUACCGGAUAAUAUAUUGAACCACAUUGUUCAAUAUUGAAAGACGGUUUUGCUGUCACUUAUAUAUGGAUCCGCGCCGCAUUAGCUAGUUGGUAAGGUAACGGCUUACCAAGGCAACGAUGCGUAGCCGACCUGAGAGGGUGAUCGGCCACACUGGAACUGAGACACGGUCCAGACUCCUACGGGAGGCAGCAGUAGGGAAUCUUCCGCAAUGGGCGAAAGCCUGACGGAGCAACGCCGCGUGAGUGAUGAAGGUCUUCGGAUCGUAAAACUCUGUUAUUAGGGAAGAACAAAUGUGUAAGUAACUGUGCACGUCUUGACGGUACCUAAUCAGAAAGCCACGGCUAACUACGUG